ensembl:lncRNA
UGAUCAUGUCAAACCGUUAUGAUCAUGUCAGCCGUUAUUAUGUAGGUCUUAUGACAGACGUACAGGUAUAAGACAAUGCCUAAAUACAUAGUCUUUUUCCCACUUGCAGAAUCAGUGAGGUGUACACUGCCGGUAAGAUGGGGACCUUCAUAGCUGAUUCAUUAUUAGAGUAGGCCUUGGUCAAUGGGUAUUUUUCACGUUUGAUGUACUAGUUGGAAUAUUUCCUGUCUGUCUCAGGAAGAUCACAGCGAAGUAUAAGAGGAGCUCUGUGUGGCUGUGUUGGUGUGGCUGUCAUCAUUCGCUUCAUAGUGAAGACUAUACGCUCCACCUCUAGCUGGGACGUCCUGCCUAGCAUCCGGCCCGCCCCCGUGCCCAGGACUAAGGAGCCAGGGAAGGAMCUGAAACAGGACGUGGCCCUCAACACGACCACUGAACCAGGAAAAAAAGAAGAUCCUGUCCCCCCCUCAGUCUGAGACCAAUCAGAGACCUCCAUGAACAUGUCACACAAUUUGUAAUUGAAGACUGUAUAGUCCAAACCAUGUGAUUCUGAAAUCAGCCCUGCACAUUCCUUGCCAGUGGAAGGCCCGUGUAUGUGUGUGUGUGUGUGUGUGUGUGUUGCUUGUCUGAAUUCAGCUGUAAAUACAUUAAGCAUCCAAAUAAAAGAGUUGAAUGACGAUGUUGCUUGGGUCAGUGUGAUAUUCACACUGGUGUAGUACACAUGAUGAACACUAGACACUGCUGUAGGACAAGUGGUGUAGUACACAUGAUGAACACUAGACACUGCUGUAGGACAAGUGGU